UCCAGAUAUGGGAUAAUGUCGUCUGCAAGCAGGGAUACUUUGACUUCCUCUCUUCCAAUUUGGAUGCCUUUAUUUCUUUCUCUCUCUUGAUUGCCCUGGCGAGGACUUCAAAUACGAUGUUGAAUUGGUCCCCAACCUAGCAAAACAGGCCAACAUUCAAAUUCCGGGAAUACAGAGAACACCACAGAGAUAUUCCUUGAGAAUAGCAACCCCAAGACACAUAAUUGUCAGAUUCACCAAGGUUGAAAUGAAGGA
rnacentral:lncRNA from 1 species